UGAGGAAUAUUGGACAAUGGAGGAAACUCUGAUCCAGCCAUGCCGCGUGAGUGAUGAAGGCCUUAGGGUUGUAAAGCUCUUUCGCAAGGGAAGAUAAUGACGGUACCUUGAUAAGAAGCCCCGGCUAACUCCGUGCCAGCAGCCGCGGUAAUACGGAGGGGGCUAGCGUUAUUCGGAAUUACUGGGCGUAAAGCGCGUGUAGGUGGCCUGAAAAGUCAGGGGUGAAAUCCCAGAGCUUAACUCUGGAAUUGCCUCUGAAACUGUCAGGCUUGCAUCUGUCAGAGGGUGGUGGAAUUCCUAGUGUAGAGGUGAAAUUCGUAGAUAUUAGGAGGAACACCAGUGGCGAAGGCGACCACCUGGGGCAGUAUGGACACUGAGACGCGAAAGCGUGGGGAGCAAA
rnacentral:rRNA from 1 species